GUAGGGAAUAUUGCGCAAUGGACGAAAGUCCGACGCAGCGACGCCGCGUGAGUGAUGAAGGCCUUAGGGUCGUAAAGCUCUGUUGAAUGGGAAGAAAAAAAUGACGGUACCAUUCGAGGAAGGACCGGCUAACUUCGUGCCAGCAGCCGCGGUAAUACGAGGGGUCCUAGCGUUGUUCGGAAUCAUUGGGCGUAAAGGGUGUGUAGGUGGCCAUGUAAGUCAGGUGUGAAAGCCCCGGGCUCAACCCGGGAAGUGCACUUGAUACUGCGUGGCUUGAGUACCGAAGAGGGUAGUGGAAUUCCAGGUGUAGUGGUGAAAUACGUAGAUAUCUGGAGGAACACCGGUGGCGAAGGCGGCUACCUGGUCGAGUACUGACACUGAGACACGAAAGCAUGGGGAUCAAACAGGAUUAGAUACCCCAGUAGUCC
rnacentral:rRNA from 1 species